AUGAAACGCUUAGCGGCAGGCUUAAUACAUAGCAGGUCGAGCGGUAACAGGUGUAGCAAUACAUGCUGACGAGCGGCAGACGGGUGAGGACACACGUACGCAACCUCCCUCAAACCGGGGCACAACCUUGAGAAAUCAGGCUAAUUCCCCAUAAGAUUGUGGAAAGCAUCUUUCAGCAAUUAAAAGAUUCAUCAGUUUGAGAUGGGCGUUGCGUUCGAUUAGCUAGUUGGUAAAGGUAACGGCUUACCAAGGCAACGAUCGAUAGCUGGUGUGAGAGCACGACCAGCCACACGGCACUGAGAUACGGGCCCACUCCUACCGGUGAAGGCAGCAGUAAGGAAUAGUUGGUCAAUGGGCGAAGCUAAAGCCCUGAACCAGCCAUGCCGCGUGAGGGAUGAAGGUUCCUCUGAAUUGUAAACCUCUUUAUUUGGGAAUAAACGUUCCUGUUUUCUACGGAAUUUGAAGGUACCAAUGAAUAAGCACCGGCUAACUCCGUGCCAGCAGCCGCGGUAAUACGGAGGGUGCAAGCGUUAUCCGGAGUUUACUGGGUUUAAAGGUGCGUAGGUGGAUUGGGAAGUUAAGUGGUGAAAUACUACAGCGCAACUGUGGAACUGCCAUUAAUACUAUCAAUCUUGAAUCAGGGGAGGCGGGCGGAAUGUAGUCAGUGUAGCGGUGAAAUGCUUAGAUAUGACACAGAACACCAAUUGCGAAGGCAGCUUGUCCUACACUGUGAUUGACAACUGAGGCACGAAAGCGUGGGGAUCAAAACAGGAUUAGAUACCCUGGUUAGUCCACGCCCUAGAACGAUGUUGCACUCGAUCUCGGCGAUACACUGUCGGGGUCUAUGCAAAAGCAUUAAGUGAACCACCUGGGGAGUACGAUCGCAAGAUUGAAACUCAAGGAAUUGACGGGGGUCCGCACAAGCGCGUGGAGCAUGUGGUUCAAUUCGAUGGUACGCGAGGAACCUUACCUGGGCUAGAUAUGCAGUUAGAAUGUCGCUGAAAGGCGGCGAGGCUCGCAGAGACUGAUUGCAAGGUGCUGGCAUGGCUGUCGUCAGCUUCGUGUCGUCGUGAGAUGUUGGGUUAAGUCCCGCAACGAGCGCGCAAACACCCCAUCAUUAGUUGCCAUCGGGUAAAGGCCGGGGACUCUAGUGAAACUGCCUGCGUAAGCAGCGAGGAAGGAGGGGGACGACGUCAAGUCAUCACGGCCUUUAUGUCCAGGGCUACACACGUGCUACAAUGGUAGGUAGCAGAGGGCUGCAACACGGCGACGUGAAGCUAAUCCCAAAAAACCUACCUCAGUUCAGAUUGGAGUCUGCAACCACGACUCCAUGAAGCUGGAAUCGCUAGUAAGUCGGGUAUCAGCAAUGAUCCGGUGAAUACGUUCCCGGACCUUGUACACACCGCCCGUCAAGCCAUGAAGCCCGGUGUACCUGAAGGAUGAUCACCGUAAGGAGUCAUUCAAGGUAAAACGGGUAACUGGGGCU
rnacentral:rRNA from 1 species